rnacentral:rRNA from 1 species
AUGAAUUUCUUAAUUUGGAACUGCCGGGGUGGGGGGAACCUCCGGACAGUUCGCGGGGUUUUGGCCCUCUCAAAAGCCAAUUCCCCGAGGCUGGUUUUCGAAUGUGAAACUAGACAAGCCUCAAGCAGAAUGGAGAAACUGAAGUGGAGACUAGGGUUGAAGGGUUUUGCUGGUGUCUCUAGUGAGGGCCUCAGUGGUGGUUUGGCUCUGUAUUGGGAUGAGAAUUUGCAAGUUACUGUCUUGAAUUCGUGGGCACGGUAUAUUGAUGUGCGCGUGGUCGAUAAGGUAAAUGAUUUGAUUUGGAGGACGACCUUGUGUAUGGAGAACCGCGUGUGGAGAACCGGCACCGUAUGUGGACUCAUCUUACUAAUUUGCGGUCGAUCUCUACGGAACCAUGGAUAG